GCGCUGCCCUCGCCUCCCCCAUUGUUCCGACUGUCUUUUUGCCUUUUGUUAUUUGCACUCGCAUUGUGUUGUUUGUCUCCGAAGCCGCCUCAUGACCAGCAAAGGGAUUUCACCUCGUCCUUGAGAGCUACACGGGGAGCGCGAGCGAGCGACGGGGGGGAGAGGGACGCGCGCGCGCGCGCGCACACACACACACACACACACGGACACACACAGACACAGAGACACACAUACACACACAGUGAAAAAGGCGAGCCACCAAAACCCAUCUCCAGUCUCCUCCCGGGGGCCCCCGGCCCGCCGCUGUGCCACUUUGCAUCCCACGCCGGAGGAGACGUUGAGGAGAGCCGGUAAGGGCCUUAUCCUGCUACAAGUCUAAACAAGUCCUUGAAAUAAUUGUGGAAAAGCAGAAUCCAAAUUCAUCACAGGUAUAAAUCUUUUCACUACCCAGAAAGACCUGGAAUGGUGUUUUCUAUAGCACACUUUGCUUACCAUUUUCUCCUUUCACAUUUGUAUUUAUAUUCAUGAUUUCAGCACAUCACGUUUUCAAGACAAUAGAAAAAAAAAGGAGAAGUCAUGCUUUUAAGCUUGUACCAUGCCAUUGAAUUUCUUUGAAAGGACAACAAGUGUGUUUAUUUUAUCACUGUGAGUCUAAAAAUUAACCGUGAAACAUCAUUCUCUACUUCUAAACUAUGUGUAACAAAGAAAUGCUUUAUUGCAACUUCAUCAAUAAUUCAAAUGCAACUUAAAAGAAAGUAGGGCAGCAUAAGAAAAAAAAAGCACACUUGUUCCAUAAUUGAGUCGAUUAAAUAGUAUUGAAUCUUAUUGUCAUAUUCAUAUUGAUGAAACAACUUCCAUAACUACAAAGAGUCUAAUAAGAAAUAAGACCUUAGAAUUAUGAGACAAUGUCAUAGGCAUUUCUGUAUUUUUUUCUGUUGUAAAAGACAAAUAGUGAAAGCAAGCUUUUACUUGUGUAUGAUAAUGAACGAACAGCUUUUGAAAGGUCUCUUAUUGGGAUUUUAGUAGUUUUCAAGGCUGUGCAGUAAUAACCCAAGCUAUUUUGGAACUGUGCAUACAUUAGUGUUCUGGUGCUGCAUGAUACAAUAAUGUGUGAAAAAGUGUACGAUCACACCUUGUUUAAAUUUGCAGUUUUUGUGCAUAAUCCCAAUGAGCUCUUGUCAGGUUUUGACUGUAUAUAGGAGAAAAAAAGUUUAUAGAGGCCUAAGAUUGGGGUUGGAUUUAAAUAUAUGACUAUGAAAAUAAGAAUUUUUUAAAAUUGUACUUUUUUAAAGAUCAAAAGAGUUCAGUUUAUAUGUAACAUUUUGCAAAACAGCCUAUGGUUAGUUUGGCCCAGGAGAAGCUUCAGAAUGUGCAUAAAUAACCAUCUGAAUGAUAAUGUAUAUAUAUCUGCUCUCUUUUGUAUUUGCAAAAUAUGAGCGAAAAGUACAGAGUUUGAUUUUUAAAGACAAUGAUCACACUAUAUGCAUUCAUAUUAAUGUUGUUUUUCAGAUUUGUCACCCAGAGAAGCAAAACCCUGAUUCCAUUGAUGCCCUUGUUCAAAACAUUUUGGAAAACUUCCUCUCAGAAUUGUCUUUUGAAUCAUUUGCAAGCUUGACUAAAACAUCCAUCUCAUUACUUUCUAUUCGCAUUUUAUACCAAGAUUCAUCAUGCUUUUUUUUUUUAUUCACCAGAGUUGGCUAUAAAUGUCUCUCUGAAGUGAUGAAAAUGGCUAAAAUUGACUUUCAAAUUAUGAAAUUUGUCACCAUUGAGGAUAUUUAGAAAUGUGUAUGCAUGUGUGUGGUACAGACUUGGAAAGCAGUUUCAAAAGGAGAUGGAAAUACUGUGAGUAAUGGCUGAGCUUUAGGGUGAGUGAGUGGUAUUCUAAGGUAACCACUUUGAAGGGAAAGUACAUUUGGAUGACAUGGUGUGUUUGUUUAAAAACCAGUCACAUUACUUUUUAAUGACACUGUAUAUUAGUUUUUAUAGCAUAUACAAAGAGAAAUGCAAAUAUGUCUUUUGGAAUGCAAGGCCAAAAUGUCUUACACAAUUAGUAGCAUAUUUUAUUAGUAAGACAAUUAAAGGAUUAAGCAACUAACAUGUUAAUCCUGUGUAGGCAGAUUCUUCAGAUAAUGGUCUUUACAUGGGAUAUCUCUGUAUAAUUUUAUUUUAGUUAAAUACUGUCAUUUAAUGUCUGAUUUGUAAGUAUGUGUUUCCAUUGGCAUCUUGGGUUAAUGUGUACUUCAUUUCAUGUCAUUUGAAGGUACUAGUUGAUAACAUUUGACAUUUUUGUUUCAGUUGACCUCUUCCUAUAAGUAAUUGACCCAGUUGUUAGAACUAUUAUUGCUUAUUUUUUAACUAUCAGUAAAGAAACACAAAUAGUUACAUGUGCUUGAAAUGUAGAGUCAUUGAAGUCUAAGUAUUUUCUUAGUUUAGAGGAAAUAUGUGGUCAUUCAGUACAAUUCACAGAAUGUUUAUGUGUGGAAUGAUUUACGAAUAAAAUGAAAAUCAAGUAGUAAUCCAGAAUGUUCACCAUUUACCUCCAGUUUGAACAUCUUUAUUGUGCUCUUUCUUAAAUGGGUAGGAAGUAAAAGAAAUGAUUUCCAGAGAGACUUAGUUGAGUAGUUUUUAUUUUCUGAGCAUUAGAGUUGGUAUUAGUUCUGGAGUUCCCACUGUGGUGUAGUGGGUAAAGAAUCUGACUGCACUGGCUCAGGUCACUACUCAGGAGUGGGUUUGAUCCCCAGCCCAGUGCAGUGGGUUAAAGGAUCUGGCUCAGAUUCAGUCCCCGGCGUGGGACCUUCCAUAUGCUGUAGGUGCAGCCAUUAAAAAAAAAAAAAAAAAAAAAA
rnacentral:lncRNA from 1 species